GGGGAAUAUUGCACAAUGGGCGAAAGCCUGAUGCAGCGACGCCGCGUGAGGGAUGGAGGCCUUCGGGUUGUAAACCUCUUUCGCUCAUGGUCAAGCCGCAACGCAUGGUUGUGGUGAGGGUAGUGGGUAAAGAAGCGCCGGCUAACUACGUGCCAGCAGCCGCGGUAAUACGUAGGGCGCGAGCGUUGUCCGGAAUUAUUGGGCGUAAAGGGCUUGUAGGCGGUUGGUCGCGUCUGUCGUGAAAUCCUCUGGCUUAACUGGGGGCGUGCGGUGGGUACGGGCUGACUUGAGUGCGGUAGGGGAGACUGGAACUCCUGGUGUAGCGGUGGAAUGCGCAGAUAUCAGGAAGAACACCGGUGGCGAAGGCGGGUCUCUGGGCCGUUACUGACGCUGAGGAGCGAAAGCGUGGGGAGCGAACAGGAUUAGAUACCCUGGUAGUCCACGCUGUAAACGUUGGGCACUAGGUGUGGGGGCCACCCGUGGUUUCUGCGCCGUAGCUAACGCUUUAAGUGCCCCGCCUGGGGAGUACGGCCGCAAGGCUA
rnacentral:rRNA from 1 species